CUUUCCAGAACCAGUUUCUGGUGGCCGCUAUCUCCGCUAUAUCGAAUGAGGAAGAAAUGGAGUCAGUCAUUAUCUGUUUCUACUUAGAUCAACUGAGAAGUUGCGCUCUGGGAUCAGUGGAAAAUCAUUGUGGCCAAAAAUUUGGCAUCAUUGCUCGAAAACUUUUUGACAUUGAAUACCAGCCUUUUGCCACGGAGUUGGAUUGUGGUCAAUAAGUUAGUCACAUCUGUACUCUGAAAUCCAGGCUCGUUCCCUUGAUCAUCUCUGGUGUCAGAAGAAGACGUUAAAUGUCGACCAGCUUCACGGUUCAAAUCUUUUGAUGUCCUGGAUUUAAAAAAAAAAUGAAUUUUUCAAAAUAUUCUUUUUUAACUAUAUC
rnacentral:sRNA from 1 species